AAUGCCAGGGGAUGGUGGGGAGGAACUCACAAGCUGAUCCAAGCAGAAGUGGCUGGAACACUCAGCUUGCCCAAGGACAGAGCAGGCUGGGAAUCUCUCCCAACAGCCUCUCCCAAGAAACACUCAGAGCCUUCUACUCUGGAGUGCAGGACGCAAGCAUAGCACAUCACAAGGGCCAGAACUUCCAGAGUAGGAGGCUUCCUCACGCUAGCAGUCAAAGUCCUUAG
rnacentral:lncRNA from 1 species